UGGGGAAUAUUGGACAAUGGGCGCAAGCCUGAUCCAGCCAUGCCGCGUGAGUGAUGAAGGCCCUAGGGUUGUAAAGCUCUUUCACCGGUGAAGAUAAUGACGGUAACCGGAGAAGAAGCCUCGGCUAACUUCGUGCCAGCAGCCGCUGUAAUACGAAGGGGGCUAGCGUUGUUCGGAUUUACUGGGCGUAAAGCGCACGUAGGCGGACUUUUAAGUCAGGGGUGAAAUCCCGGGGCUCAACCCCGGAACUGCCUGUGAUACUGGAAGUCUUGAGUAUGGUAGAGGUGAGUGGAAUUCCGAGUGUAGAGGUAAAAUUCGUAGAUAUUCGGAGGAACACCAGUGGCGAAGGCGGCUCACUGGACCAUUACUGACGCUGAGGUGCGAAAGCGUGGGGAGCAAACAGG
rnacentral:rRNA from 1 species